AGCAAAACUUCAAAAAUAGGUCUCAGUUCGGACUGUAGGCUGCAACUCGCCUACACGAAGUUGGAAUUGCUAGUAAUCGUGGAUCAGCAUGCCACGGUGAAUACGUUCCCGGGCCUUGUACACACCGCCCGUCACACCAUGGGAGUUGGGAGUGCCCAAAGCCGGUGAGGCAACCGAAAGGAGCCAGCCGUCUAAGGCAAGACCAAUGACUGGGGUGAAGUCGUAACAAGGUAUC
rnacentral:rRNA from 1 species